rnacentral:rRNA from 1 species
GACGAACGCUGGCGGCGUGCUUAACACAUGCAAGUCGAACGGUGAAGCGCCUUCCUUUUUGGUGGGUGUGGAUGAGUGGCGAACGGGUGAGUAACACGUGAGUAACCUGCCCCCUUCUUCUGGAUAACCGCAUGAAAGUGUGGCUAAUACGGGAUAUUCUGGGUCUGUCGCAUGAUGGGUCUGGGAAAGAUAUUGUUUCGGUGGGGGAUGGGCUCGCGGCCUAUCAGCUUGUUGGUGGGGUGAUGGCCUACCAAGGCGGUGACGGGUAGCCGGCCUGAGAGGGUGGACGGUCACACUGGGACUGAGACACGGCCCAGACUCCUACGGGAGGCAGCAGUGGGGAAUAUUGCACAAUGGGCGCAAGCCUGAUGCAGCGACGCCGCGUGAGGGAUGGAGGCCUUCGGGUAGUGAACCUCUUUCGCCAGUGAAGCAGGCCUGCCUCGUUUGUGGGUGGGUUGACGGUAGCUGGAUAAGAAGCGCCGGCUAACUACGU